UACGAAGGGGGCUAGCGUUGCUCGGAAUCAUUGGGCGUAAAGGGUGUGUAGGUGGCGCCGUAAGUCGGGUGUGAAAUUUCGGAGCUUAACUCCGAAACUGCAUUCGAUACUGCGGUGCUUGAGGACUGGAGAGGAGACUGGAAUUCAUGGUGUAGCAGUGAAAUGCGUAGAGAUCAUGAGGAAGACCAGUGGCGAAGGCGGCUCUCUGGGACGGUACUGACGCUGAGACGCGAAAGCGUGGGGAGCAAACAGG
rnacentral:rRNA from 1 species